rnacentral:ncRNA from 1 species
CAAAAUGCGAUGAAGGGGAAAAGCCGUACCUUCUCCUUUAAGAGAGCCGGCGGCUGGUGCGAGCCGGUAAGGGGAUAUGCGGAAUUCCGCCCCGAAGCAGCACCUUCGAACAUGCACAGCAUUAGUAGGAGGUGCCGGCCGAUGCCGUUACCUACGUUGAGCAACAAGAAGGGUGGCACCGCGGGAAAAUCCUCUCGCCCCUAUG